rnacentral:rRNA from 1 species
UACGUAGGGUGCGAGCGUUAAUCGGAAUUACUGGGCGUAAAGCGUGCGCAGGCGGUUUUGUAAGCCAGAUGUGAAAUCCCCGGGCUUAACCUGGGAAUGGCAUUUGGGACUGCAAGGCUUGAGUGCGGCAGAGGAGACUGGAAUUCCUGGUGUAGCAGUGAAAUGCGUAGAUAUCAGGAGGAACACCGAUGGCGAAGGCAGGUCUCUGGGCUGACACUGACGCUCAUGCACGAAAGCGUGGGAGCAACAGGAUUAGAAACCCGUAGUGA